GAUUGUUAUUUGCUUCCAUAU
rnacentral:sRNA from 1 species